GCCCGAUUAGCUCAGUGGUAGAGCGCCUGGCUGUUAACCAGGAUGUCGCAGGUUCAAUCCCUGCAUCGGGCG
rnacentral:tRNA from 1 species